UCCCUGAUGGUCUAGCGGUUAGGAUUCCUGGCUCUCACCCAGGCGGCCCGGUUCAACUCCCGGUCAGGGAG
rnacentral:tRNA from 1 species